GCCGGAGUGGCGGAAUGGCAGACGCAGGGGACUCAAAAUCCCCCGCCUUCACGGGCGUGCAGGUUCGAGUCCUGUCUCCGGCACCA
rnacentral:tRNA from 1 species